rnacentral:rRNA from 1 species
GUGGGGAAUUUUGGACAAUGGGCGAAAGCCUGAUCCAGCAAUGCCGCGUGUGUGAAGAAGGCCUUCGGGUUGUAAAGCUCUUUAGUCCACGAAUAUAAUGACUGUAGUGGAAGAAUAAGCCCCGGCUAACUUCGUGCCAGCAGCCGCGGUAAUACGAAGGGGGCGAGCGUUAUUCGGAAUCACUGGGCGUAAAGCGUGCGUAGGCUGUUUUGUAAGUCAGAAGUGAAAGCCCAGGGCUUAACCCUGGAAUUGCUUUUGAAACUACAAGACUCGAAUUCGGGAGAGGAUAGCGGAAUUGUCAGUGUAGCAGUGAAAUGCGUAGAUAUUGACAGGAACACCAGUGGCGCAAGCGGCUAUCUGGACCGAUAUUGACGCUGAGGCACGAAAGCGUGGGGAGCAAACAGGAUUAGAUACCCUGGUAGUCC